GGUUUCAGUAGGGUAGGAGGGGUCUAGUACUACUGCUGUUAUGUCAGAGAUUAGAGCAUUUAUAAAGCCAGGAAUCACAAUGCUUUUGUGAGUUUGUUCCGACCUGCAGUGGAGGAGAAGAAAAGGGAUGUUUCAUAUUUAAGGUGGAAAGGAAGUGUUCACACUUAGGACAUGAGGACAGGGCCAGCUCUUGCACUGUUGGUGCUGGCACUUUUUUCAUCUGCUACAGCAAAGCCCAAAAGCCGCUUCACACGAUAUGCAUCAUGGAAUACGAAAAUGUAUCCAGUCUGGAAAGAUGAAGAUCCUCGGUACAAAGACUCUUGGAAAGGUGGCAAGGUGAACUUCAUUGUGGGUAAUGAUGCACCGACCCUGACUGGAGCCAAUGUGACCUUUACCAUCGAGCUGCAGUUCCCACACAACCAGAAGGUCACGCCCAAUGGAGAGGUGGUGUGGGCUGAGAACUGCACCGUCAAUGGAACAAAUUGUCAUGAGCCAGUGUAUCCUGCACAAAACAUGGACUGGAAUGGUGUCUUUCCUGACGGAACACCCUUCAAGAAGGGCGGUGACAAGCCCCCUGCAUAUGUGUUUGUAUGGAAAACAUGGGGUCAGUACUGGCAGGUGUCUGAUGGCCCAUCCUCCUCCCUCACCAUUGGGACAGCCGAUGUCCCUCUGGGUUCCUACAUCGUGGACAUUGUAAUCUACCACUACCGCAGCCAUGAGAAGUUCAUCCCUCUGGGAUACGCCUCAACACAGUUCUCCAUCACUGAUAAAAUCCCCUUCACAGUCUCGAUGACCCAAGUGAACGACAUCAACGAGGCAGACCUGAGCUUCGUCCAGAACAGAGCCAUAGCCUUCACCAUCAGCCUCCACGACCCCAGCGAGUACCUGAGUGACGCCGACAUCACCUACAACUGGGACUUUGGUGACAGCAGCGGGGCGCUCAUCUCCAGAGAGCUGACUGUCACCCACACCUAUAUAGUGGCUGGUGGCUUCAAGCCCCAGGUGGUCGUACAGGCCGUUAUCCCUGAUAAAGCAUGUGCCACACCAGCUGGUGUCAACCCCACUGGUAAUGCUGUCACCAUCGGGCCUGCAAACCCGGCCGGCACAACAGUGAGAGCUCCUGCUGCUGAUGUGUCAGCUGCACCAGUGAUGGUGGCCACACAGGAAGCUACAAUAAAUGUAGGCCCAUCAGCUACCGCUGAGACUGACAUAGAGGUCAUGACUGAGGAGGGAGCCUCCACCGCUCGGGACACGAAGAUACCUUCUCAAGUUAAUUCUGACACGCCAACUGUCCCUGCUGCUGAGGAAGUAGAGCCAGCAGGACAGACUGCUACAGGCCAAGCUCCUGUGGGGAUAGUUGUUAAGCGUGAAGCCAAUGACAAACCCAAGGAUGAUGACUGUGUGAUCUAUCGCUAUGGGUCCUUCUGCACUGGCAUUGACAUCGUUGAGGGCAUCGAGAGUUUGAAGAUAGUGCAAGUGGACAAUGCUGUGAUCAAGAUGGAUGAAUCUGAGGUUGAACGAAACAUAGUGGAUCUAACUGUCACCUGCCAAGGGAGCCUUCCCACAGAGGUGUGCACGGUGGUGUCCGAUACAGACUGUCUUAUGCCCGUCCACACCAUGUGUAACACAGUGGCCCCCUCUUCUGAGUGCCAGCUGGUACUGCGUCACUUUUUCAAUGACUCCGGCAUCUUCUGUAUCAACGUGUCCAUGACCAACGAUGUCAGUCUGGCAGUCACCAGCGCCAAAGUUAGCGUGACCGUGGGUAUGUACUAUAAGAUGUCUGCUCUGCACAUCUGCCUCGUCUUGAACCUGGGUCAAUCAGUCCAACACCUAUUGUUAUAGGUUCCAGUCUGUCCUCUGCGGGCACUAUAGCCAUGGCAAUGGUGGUCCUGAUCGUUGCCCUGGUUGCAGGAACCAUGGCCUACACUUACAAACGGUUCAAAGCCUACCUUCCUCUGAAGGAGGAGUCUGUAGUUGGCUCCGCCUCCCAGAGUGCUGAGAGCAGUCCUGGUUGGAGCUCUGGGCCUCUACUGUUCUGGAACCUUCUGAGUCGAUGGGGCCUUGUAGAGAACAGCCCACUGCUCGAUGACAGGCUGGUGUGAAUGGACAACAACCCAUUCAACUGCCAAAUACACAACAGCAUAGAAACAUCUUAUUUUCAUCUGUCAUCUGAAAGGUUUUGCUUUUUCUUUUAUGGUUUUUUUAUACAUUUAUUUUUUAACUGAAAGUUCAUGAAUGGAUAUAAUUUGGCUUAUUUCCAUCAAACUUAAAUGUGCAUCCUCAAAUGUUUAUACUGGAAGUUUUAUCAGUGAAUAGUAUUGUAAACUACUGUGAAGUUAGACAUUUUUAUGUCUUCUCCCCAUUAAAAUCCCCCCCAAAACUGUA